UUUUCUGUGCUUCUCUAAUGGAUCAUCAGACUUGGUCUAAAAUAACACCCAGUUAUUCCCUCUUAAUUCAGGAGCAGAUGUCCCUAGUCAGUUUCACUAAGUUAUGCGACAAGGUGUGGAUCGGGCUCUGCUUUCUCCGGAGGGUCUGGGGGACAAGCUCUUUCUUUGUCUUCUCUAGCUUCUUUAGUCUCAUUCUUAGCAUCUUGGCUCAGGACACCUUUCUCCAUCAUGAAAGCCAGUGGCCCAGAAGUUAUCUCAGUGGAAUUGUGCCCCCUUCCUUCUUCUUCCACUUCCCUGAGACCCAACAUAGAUAAUCCAAGAUGACCUCCCCUCAUUAGGUAAAACAAGG